GGCAGACAUCAGCCAGUCAAGUCAUAGGUUUACUUGGUUAAUGUCAAGGAAGGCUUCACAUCAGGGUAGGGUACUGCUGAAGGGAUGAUGGAGAAGUCUGGAACCACUUAUAAGAAUUUGGGUCACUCACAAGAAACAUCUGAAUUAUUCAUGCCUAUACUUGCUGUUUAACAAAUUAGGCAACUGAGUGAGGCCCUAGGAAGUUCACUCACCAACCCAGAGUUACACUGCUGUGAACAGGUGAGGACUGGCCAACUGCAGAGCUGAAUUCUCACCCACAAACAACCCACCUCCUCUUUUAAGCAGUCACACCUCCUGGCCUUCUUCUGGUAACCUUGCUAUUCCCAGGAGAGCAAGACAAGAACUUUUGGAUGGAAACAAAGUUCACAUUAUUAACACUGUCAGAAAAUGCUGGUAGGUUCUU
rnacentral:lncRNA from 1 species